CGCGAGGGAGACGGCGGGAUAGCCGCCGGCCAGAUCCGCUUGCUCGCGAGGGAGAGGAAGGAAGGCCGCUCGGGGGGAAACGCCGGGAGAGCCGCUACCUCCGCGCCCCCGCCAAUCCCGCCGCCCACCAACCCCGUCCUCGAGCCCGCCCCCCUCCAAGCUCGCCCCAUUCCAUACUCGGCGACAGGAUUCACCGCGCUCCCUUCCGCGCCUGCUAUUAAAAGGAUGGACACAGCUGGAGCUGGAGGGCAUCCAGAGAAUCUCGGCAAGAAGGAAGGAACAGGAGCAGGUGCGUCGUGAGGCGACGGAGGACCUGGCCGAGGAUCUGUCAGAAGGCGAGAAGGGAGACACCAUCGGCGAGCUUGCGCCGGUUGAGACGACCAAGAAGAAGUUCCAGAGGAACUUCUCUGACCUUACCGUCUGGUCUGACGACAAUAAGGAGAAGAAGCUUUACAUUGUGCUCAUCAG
rnacentral:misc_RNA from 1 species